AGAGUUUGAUCCUGGCUCAGGACGAACGCUGGCGGCGUGCUUAACACAUGCAAGUCGAACGAUGAUGCCCAGCUUGCUGGGCGGAUUAGUGGCGAACGGGUGAGUAACACGUGAGUAACCUGCCCUUGACUUCGGGAUAACUCCGGGAAACCGGGGCUAAUACCGGAUAUGAGCCGUCCUCGCAUGGGGGUGGUUGGAAAGUUUUUCGGUCAGGGAUGGGCUCGCGGCCUAUCAGCUUGUUGGUGGGGUGAUGGCCUACCAAGGCGACGACGGGUAGCCGGCCUGAGAGGGCGACCGGCCACACUGGGACUGAGACACGGCCCAGACUCCUACGGGAGGCAGCAGUGGGGAAUAUUGCACAAUGGGCGAAAGCCUGAUGCAGCGACGCCGCGUGAGGGAUGAAGGCCUUCGGGUUGUAAACCUCUUUCAGCAGGGAAGAAGCGCAAGUGACGGUACCUGCAGAAGAAGCGCCGGCUAACUACGUGCCAGCAGCCGCGGUAAU
rnacentral:rRNA from 1 species